GUUAACUCUAUUCGCAGUGACAAACUAAACCUUAAUUGAACUGCCAUUCUUUGAACUGCCAUAUCUAUGCACAAGACUGCAAAUAGAUAAAAACCAAGGACAGCAAAGCGAAACAGAACCACCACCGCCACCAAGGACAGCGCACAUAAGACAAUCAAAGGAAGACGCUGCACAGUUAAGGUAGAGCAAGGAGGACUGUGGAAGGAAGUUGGCGACUCACAGAACAACCGUAGGGCAGAAUCUCUGAAACAGUCCAUCUUCCUUCGAUGUUGAGGAAGUGAAUAUGGAUGGAGUUUGCUUUCUGUUGGUUCCCCUCAAAGGAGCAACAUCAUGCAAAAAGCCUGAAACUAACGAGAGUCUUUAUGCUAAAUUCCGGAGAUUACUCUUUGCUUUAAAAACCGCCUUCUUUUGCACCGUGACUAAUGUGAAGAAAAUGUGAAUUUACUACAGCGCUUUGCCAAUGCUCACACACAAAAUUGGAACUUGGCACAGUGUUUCCUCUCUCUGAGGGCACUGCAUCGUCCUUCCACACGAUGUCAUUUAGGGCUUACUGUCAAUCGCGGAUACCUGUCCUAUGACACAAGACACCUGCCACACACAGACAGAUUUACUCUUCGCAGUUAUGUGACAGUGGAUGCCGUAUGUGCGCGCACAAACCCCCAAGCACUGAGUUUGUACUAAUUGCACUGAAAGAAAAGGCUCUUCAAAGAAAAAGCUAUUCUCGGGUUAAUAAAACUCUUGCCACA